UACGUAGGAGGCGAGCGUUGUCCGGAAUCACUGGGCGUAAAGCGCGUGUAAGCGGUGCGGGAAGUCUGCUGUGAAAGCGCCUGGCUCAACCGGGCGAGGUCGGCGGAAACUCUCUCACUGGAGGCCGGUAGAGGGGGGUGGAAUUCCCGGUGUAGUGGUGAAAUGCGUAGAGAUCGGGAGGAAUACCGAUGGCGAAGGCAGGUCUCUGGGCUGACACUGACGCUCAUGCACGAAAGCGUGGGGAGCAAACAGG
rnacentral:rRNA from 1 species